ACCUCCUCCUCUGCCUCCUCUUCCUCGCCCUUCAGCAGCAUCACCACCAAUUGCUCUUCUUCUUCUCACCCAAGAAGGACAUCCUCCUCCUCUUCCUCCUCUCAUUCAGUCUUCUCUUUCCUCAACCAAGGAGGGGAAUGGACCCUUGGGGAAGCUGAGAUCAUCAUCAUCAUCAUCAUCAUCAUCAUCAUCAUCAUCAUCCUCUUCUUCUUCUCUUCUUUGUCUGCUGGAUCUCAUCAGAGGGCAGUGAGUGGAGCCUCAGCAUCCUCCUCCUCCUCCUCUUGGAAGAGCCUCGCCCUUCAGCAGCAUCCUCCUCCUCCUCACCACCACCACCAUCCAACCACCAUCACCCCAACCAUAACAUCACCACCACCACCACCUUCCCCACCACUGCCACCACCAUCACCAUCACAGCCCCAAGGAGGCCCCAGUCGGGCUCUCUGGGAGGAAGAAGUCGGGAGGGUCACCACCAUCACCAUCACUCCAACCACUAUCACCCCAACCACCACAUCUCCACCACCACCACCUUCCCCACUACCAUCACCAUCACGGCCCCAAAGAGGCCCAAGUCGGGCUUUCUGGAGGAAGAAGUCGGGUCAUCACCAUCACCAUCACUCCAACCACUAUCACCCCAACCACCACAUCUCCACCACCACCACCUUCCCCACUACCAUCACCAUCAUGGCCCCAAAGAGGCCCAAGUCGGGCUUUCUGGAGGGAAGAAGUCGGGAUAGUUACCACUAUUGCCAUCACCAUCAACAUCACCAUCACCCCAACCAUCACAUCUCCACCAUCCCCACCCUCACCCCACCACCAUGUCCCCAAAGAGGCCCAAGUCGUGCUUUCUGGGGGGAAGAAGUUGGGAGGGUCAUCACCACCAUCACCAUCAACACCACCAUCAUGGCCCCAAAGAGGCCCAAGUUGGGCUUUAUGGGGGGAAGAAGUCAGGAGGGUCAUUGUCAUAAUCACCAUCAUCAUCACCACCACCACCAUCCCCACCAUCCCCGUCACACCUCCAUCACCACCAUCACCAUCACCAUAGUUGUAUGUCUUAUACACCUCUCCACAGUUCCAUCCAAUCCUCCUCCUUUCAGGCCCUAGUUCAAUUCAGCAUCUUUGUCAAUGAUUUGGAGGAUGGAGUAGAGGGCAUGCUUGUCAACACCUUGGGUUUCUUUCAGAUGAUGAUGAUGAUGAUGAUGAUAAUAAUAUGUCUUAUCCAUCUCUCCACAGUUCCAUCCUACCCCCUUCUUUCUGCCCCCAGUGCAAUUCAAUAUCUUGGGGCCCUUCCAGACAGGCCCUAUAUCCCAAUAUCUGAUCCCAGGUUUCUGUUUUAUCCCAGAUUAUCUGGCAGUGCGGACUCAUAUAAUCCAGUUCAAAGCAGAAAACCUGGGAUCGGAUCCUGAGAUAUAGGGCCUAUCUGGAAGGGCCCUUAGUCAGUGACUUGAAGGAUGGAGUAGAAGUAUGCUUAUCACCAUUUUGGGUUUCUUUAAUGUAAUAAUAAUAAUAGCAAUAGCAAUAAUGGAAACAAUAGACAUUGACAAAAUUACGAUCUGCCAACUGCAAAAGGCCACCCUACUGGGAUCUGCGCGCAUCAUCCAAAAAUACAUCACACAGUCCUAGACACUUGGGAAGUGUUCAGCUUGUGAUUUUGUGAUACGAAAUCCAGCAUAUCUAUCUUGUUUGCUGUGUCAUAAUAUAAUAAUAAUAAUAAUAAUAAUAAUAAUAAUAAUAAUAAAGUCUUACUCACCUCUCCACAGUCCCACCCUAAUCCCUUCAUUCAGCCCGUAGUGCAAUUCAGCAUCUUAGUCAGUCACUUGGAGGAUGGGGAUUCGUUGUUGUUGUUGUUGUUAUUAUUAUUAUAUUUCUGACCUGCCUUUCCUCAGUUCUGCCUUAGCCUCCCCUUUCAGUCUCUAGGGCAUUUCAGCAUUGUAAUCAAUGAUUUAAUGAUGGAAUAGGAGACAUGAUUAUCACAGUUUAUUACUAUUGCUAUUAUUGUUGUUGUUGUUGUUGUUAUUGUUAUCAUCAUCAUAUUAUAUUACUAGCUGUGCCCAGCCACGUGUUGCUGUGACGUAGUCCUAAGUGGGGUUUUCUUUGAGGCAUUCAAGGUGGCCUAGAGAGGAUUCACCUAGGUAUGAAGCAGCCAGGCUUUGAAGCUGCAAGGCUAUUCAAUUGUAUUCAAGUUGGGUAACAAUGGAAUCCCCUAGGUAUGAAGCAGCCAGGCUUUGAAGCUACAAGGCUAUUCAAUGGUAUUCAAGUUGGGUAACCAUGGAAUCCCCUAGGUAUGAAGCAGCCAGGCUUUGAAGCUGCAAGGCAAUUCAAUGGUAUUCAAGUUGGGUAACCAUGGAGUCCCCUAGGUAUGAAGCAACCAGGCUUUGAAGCUGCAAAGCUAUUCAGUGGUAUUUAAGUUGGGUAACAAUGGAGUCCCCUAGGUAUGAAGCAGCUAGGCUUUGAAGCUGCAAAUAUAUAUAUAAUAUAAUAAUAUAGUAAUAAUAUAAUAUUUUAUUUUUUUUGUAUGCCGCCUCCAUCUGCAAGGCUAUUCAAUGGUAUUCAAGUUGGCCAACAAUGGAGUCCCCUAGGUAUGAAGCAGCCAGGCUUUGAAGCUGCAAGGCUAUUCAAUGCUAUUCAAGUUGGGUAACAAUGGAGUCCCCUAAGUAUGAAGCAGCCAGGCUUUGAAGCUGCAAGGCUAUUCAAUGCUAUUCAAGUUAGGUAACAAUGGAGUCCCCUAAGUAUGAAGCAGCCAGGCUUUGAAGCUGCAAGGUCACUCCUUGGAAAGUGAUGAGUAUUGUGGCCAAAUUUGGUGCGAUUUGGCCCAGUGGUUUUGUGGUCAACUUGGUCCUAAUUAUGCACAUUAUAUAUAUACACACACACACACACACAUACAGUAGAGUCUCACUUAUCCAACGUUCUGGAUUAUCCAACGUAUUUUUGAAGUCACUGUUUUCAAUACAUCAUAAUAUUUUGGUGCUAAAUUCGUAAAUACAGUAAUUACUACAUAGCAUUACUGCGUAUUGAACUACUUUUUCUGUCAAAUUUGUUGUUAAACAUGAUGUUUUUGGUGCUUAAUUUGUAAAAUCAUAACCUAAUUUGAUGUGUAAUAGGCUUUUCAUUAAUCCCUCCUUAUUAUCCAACAUAUUCGCUAAUCCAACAUUCUGCCGGCCCGUUUAUGUUGGAUAAGUGAGACUCUACUGUGUGUGUGUGUGUGUGUGUGUAUAGUCUCUCUCUCUAUAUAUCUAUCUAUCUAUCUAUCUAUCUAUCUAUCUAUCUAUCUAUAUAAAAGGUAAUGAAAUUUCGGCCUAGGACAAAACAACAAAACUACACAUCCCAGAAACACUAAACUUGGCAGCACAACCCCUCAUCCAUGCCUCUACAUUCAUACAACAAAAAGAAAAGAAAAAUAAAGUCCUAAUUAGAGGGAGAGGAAUAAUUGUUUUUAUCCAAUUGCUGCCAGUUAGAGGACUAAUCUCUGCCCACUUGGUCUCCUAGCAACUAACUCAGCCCAGGGGACAGGCAGACUUAGGCCUCACUUAGGCCUCUUCCACAGAUUAUCUAAUUUGCACUGGAUUAUAUGGCAGUGUAGACUCAAGGCCCUUCCACACGGCUAUAUAACCCAUUUAGAAUCUUAUAUUAUCUGCUUUGAACUGUAUUAUCUUGAGUCCACACUGCCAUAUAAUCCACUUCAGUGUGCAUUUUAUACAGCUGUGAAGAAGGGGCCUCAUAUCAUCCAGUUCUAAGCAGAUAAUAUAAGAUUAUAAAUAUAAUAUGUAAUAAUUACUGUGAUAUAGAAUCAUAGAAUCAUAGAAUAGUAGAGUUGGAAGAGACCUCAUGGGCCAUCCAGUCCAACCCCAUUCUGCCAAAAAGCAGGAGAUCGCAUUCAAAGCGAUUAAUAAUAAUACAGAACAAUAUAAUCUCUAAUAUCAGGACAGUAAAUAAAGAGCUACACUCUGAAAGCAUAAGCCACAGCAACGCGUGGCCGAGCAAAGCUAGUAUAUAUAUAUAGUUUGCCAUAUAUAUAUAUAUACACACACACACACACACACACACACACACACAGUAGAGUCUCACUUAUCCAAGCUAAACGGGCCGGCAGAAGCUUGGAUAAGCGAAUAUCUUGGAUUACAAGGAGGGAUUAAGGAAAAGCCUAUUAAACAUCAAAUUAGGUUAUGAUUUUACAAAUUUAGCACCAAAAUAUCAUGUUUUGCAACAAAUUUGACAGAAAAGGUAGUUCAAUAUGCAGUAAGGUUAUGUUGUAAUUACUGUAUUUACGAAUUUAGCACCAAAAUAUCAUGAUAUAUUGAAAACAUUGACUACAAAAAUAGCUUGGAUUAUCCAGAGGCUUGGAUAAGUGAGGCUUGGAUUAGUGAGACUCUACUGUAUAUAUAUAUAUAUAUAUAUAUAUAUAUAUAUAUAUAUAUAUAUAUUGCAUUAUACUCUAGGAUACUUACUUUGUUGUUUCCUUUAUAUGGUUGUCGCAUGCAGAAGUGAUCUCGUGAAAUAGAAUUGUAACACAAGCGUGUGACAAAUAUCGUUGGUUCCUGAUAAGUAUGCAUGAGGGUACAUUCCUCAAUGGAACGAUCACGGCUCUUCCCAGAGGAACGGAGGGUUAAGUUGCCAAGGAGCCUCUGUGUGUGUAUAUAUAUAAUAUAUACAUGCACAUUAACUGGUUCUUGCCAGUGUCAGGAGCGCACCAGCCACCUUCCCAAGGGGGAUGCCUGUUGUUUUCUUUUGAUCUGGAAUCACACAGCUAAUAACCAGCAACCAGGCCUGCUCUUAGCAACACAGCUGAAGCAAUGUGUGCGCAGGGAAGAUGGGAGGGAGCGCAUCGAGCGCAUUGAGAGGGUAAAUAAAUAGAAUCACAGUGGAUGGGUGUCUGUGUGAGCAUUACAAAAUGCAUAGGGAGUGGAGGAGGCCUCUGUCUAUAAGCCAAAUUUGGGGUGAGCGAGCAGCACAAAGACCUCGUGGCCACGGAGACGUGGGAUUUUUACAAGACUGUGGUUGACUCUGCUUCUCACGCUGAAAAAUGGGAGGACCUGGGAAGCUUCACAUGGGAUGUGGUGAAACACAUACAGUAGAGUCUCACUUAUCCAACACUUGCUUAUCCAACGUUCUGGAUUAUCCAACGCAUUUUUGUAGUCAAUGUUUUCAAUAUAUCAUGAUAUUUUGGUGCUAAAUUCGUAAAUACAGUACAGUAGAGUCUCACUUAUCCAACACUUGCUUAUCCAACGUUCUGGAUUAUCCAACGCAUUUUUGUAGUCAAUGUUUUCAAUAUAUCGUGAUAUUUUGGUGCUAAAUUCGUAAAUACAGUACAGUAGAGUCUCACUUAUCCAACACUUGCUUAUCCAACGU
rnacentral:lncRNA from 1 species